rnacentral:rRNA from 1 species
AUUGAACGCUGGCGGCAGGCUUAACACAUGCAAGUCGAGCGGAGAUGAGGUGCUUGCACCUUAUCUUAGCGGCGGACGGGUGAGUAAUGCUUAGGAAUCUGCCUAUUAGUGGGGGACAACAUUCCGAAAGGAAUGCUAAUACCGCAUACGGCGUACGGGAGAAAGCAGGGGAUCUUCGGACCUUGCGCUAAUAGAUGAGCCUAAGUCGGAUUAGCUAGUUGGUGGGGUAAAGGCCUACCAAGGCGACGAUCUGUAGCGGGUCUGAGAGGAUGAUCCGCCACACUGGGACUGAGACACGGCCCAGACUCCUACGGGAGGCAGCAGUGGGGAAUAUUGGACAAUGGGGGGAACCCUGAUCCAGCCAUGCCGCGUGUGUGAAGAAGGCCUUAUGGUUGUAAAGCACUUUAAGCGAGGAGGAGGCUACUGAGACUAAUACUCUUGGAUAGUGGACGUUACUCGCAGAAUAAGCACCGGCUAACUCUGUGCCAGCAGCCGCAGUAAAAC